rnacentral:rRNA from 1 species
GGAUCAGGUAGGAAUACCCGCUGAACUUAAGCAUAUCAAUAGGCGGGAA